rnacentral:rRNA from 1 species
GACGAACGCUGGCGGCGUGCUUAACACAUGCAAGUCGAACGGAAAGGCCCUGCUUUUGUGGGGUGCUCGAGUGGCGAACGGGUGAGUAACACGUGAGUAACCUGCCCUUGACUUUGGGAUAACUUCAGGAAACUGGGGCUAAUACCGGAUAGGAGCUCCUGCUGCAUGGUGGGGGUUGGAAAGUUUCGGCGGUUGGGGGUGGACUCGCGGCUUAUCAGCUUGUUGGUGGGGUAGUGGCUUACCAAGGCUUUGACGGGUAGCCGGCCUGAGAGGGUGACCGGCCACAUUGGGACUGAGAUACGGCCAGACUCCUACGGGAGGCAGCAGUGGGGAAUAUUGCACAAUGGGCGGAAGCCUGAUGCAGCAACGCCGCGUGCGGGAUGACGGCCUUCGGGUUGUAAACCGCUUUCGCCUGUGACGAAGCGUGAGUGACGGUAAUGGGUAAAGAAGCACCGGCUAACUACGUG